rnacentral:rRNA from 1 species
AUUGAACGCUGGCGGAAUGCUUUACACAUGCAAGUCGAACGGCAGCACGGACUUCGGUCUGGUGGCGAGUGGCGAACGGGUGAGUAAUAUAUCGGAACGUGCCCAGUCGUGGGGGAUAACGUAGUGAAAAUUACGCUAAUACCGCAUACGAUCUAUGGAUGAAAGCGGGGGAUCGCAAGACCUCGCGCGAUUGGAGCGGCCGAUAUCAGAUUAGGUAGUUGGUGAGGUAAAGGCUCACCAAGCCGAGGAUCUGUAUCUGGUCUGAGAGGUCGAGCAGGCACACUGGAACUGAGACACGGUCCAGACUCCUACGGGAGGCAGCGGUGGUGAAAUUUGGACAAUGGACUCAAGUCUGAUCCAAUCAUUCCGCGUGCAGGACGAAGGCCUUCGGGUUGUAAACGGCUUUUGUACAGAACGAAAAGGUCUCUAUUAAUACUAGGGGCUCAUGACGGUACUGUAAGAAUAAGCACCGGCUAACUACGUGCCAGCAGCCGCGGUAA